CCCUGGUUAGCUCAGUUGGUAGAGCGCUCCACUGAAAAUGGGGGGAGGUCCUGGGUUCGAUACCCCGACCAGGCG
rnacentral:tRNA from 1 species